rnacentral:rRNA from 1 species
AUGAACGCUAGCUACAGGCUUAACACAUGCAAGUCGAGGGGCAGCAUGGUCUUAGCUUGCUAAGGCCGAUGGCGACCGGCGCACGGGUGAGUAACACGUAUCCAACCUGCCGUCUACUCUUGGACAGCCUUCUGAAAGGAAGAUUAAUACAAGAUGGCAUCAUGAGUCCACAUGUUCACAUGAUUAAAGGUAUUCCGGUAGACGAUGGGGAUGCGUUCCAUUAGAUAGUAGGCGGGGUAACGGCCCACCUAGUCUUCGAUGGAUAGGGGUUCUGAGAGGAAGGUCCCCCACAUUGGAACUGAGACACGGUCCAAACUCCUACGGGAGGCAGCAGUGAGGAAUAUUGGUCAAUGGGCGAGAGCCUGAACCAGCCAAGUAGCGUGAAGGAUGACUGCCCUAUGGGUUGUAAACUUCUUUUGUAAAGGAAUAAAGUCGGGUAUGGAUACCCGUUUGCAUGUACUUUAUGAAUAAGGAUCGGCUAACUCCGUGCCAGCAGCCGCGGUAAUACGGAGGAUCCGAGCGUUAUCCGGAUUUAUUGGGUUUAAAGGGAGCGUAGAUGGAUGUUUAAGUCAGUUGUGAAAGUUUGCGGCUCAACCGUAAAAUUGCAGUUGAUACUGGAUAUCUUGAGUGCAGUUGAGGCAGGCGGAAUUCGUGGUGUAGCGGUGAAAUGCUUAGAUAUCACGAAGAACUCCGAUUGCGAAGGCAGCCUGCUAAGCUGCAACUGACAUUGAGGCUCGAAAGUGUGGGUAUCAAACAGGAUUAGAUACCCUGGUAGUCCACGCCGUAAACGAUGAAUACUAGGUGUUGGGGAGCAAAGCUCUUCGGUGCCGCCGCAAACGCAUUAAGUAUUCCACCUGGGGAGUACGCCGGCAACGGUGAAACUCAAAGGAAUUGACGGGGGCCCGCACAAGCGGAGGAACAUGUGGUUUAAUUCGAUGAUACGCGAGGAACCUUACUCGGGCUUAAAUUGCAGAUGAAUUACGGUGAAAGCCGUAAGCCGCAAGGCAUCUGUGAAGGUGCUGCAUGGUUGUCGUCAGCUCGUGUCGUGAGAUGUUGGGUUAAGUCCCGCAACGAGCGCAACCCUUAUCCUCAGUAGCCAGCAGGUAAAGCUGGGCACUCUGUGGAGACUGCCAGGGAUAACCUGGAGGAAGGUGGGGAUGACGUCAAAUCAUCAUGCCCCUUAUGACUUGGGCUACACACGUGCUACAAUGGCGCAUACAAAGAGAAGCGACCUCGCGAGAGCAAGCGGACCUCAUAAAGUGCGUCGUAGUCCGGAUUGGAGUCUGCAACUCGACUCCAUGAAGUCGGAAUCGCUAGUAAUCGUGGAUCAGAAUGCCACGGUGAAUACGUUCCCGGGCCUUGUACACACCGCCCGUCACACCAUGAGAGUCGGGAAUACCCGAAGCCUGUGAGCCAACAUAUUUAUAUGAGGCAGCAGUCGAAGGUAGAAUCGAUGAUUGGGGUG